rnacentral:rRNA from 1 species
CAGCCGUAAACUAUGCGCGUUAGGUGUAUCGGUGACCACGAGUUACCGAGGUGCCGAAGGGAAACCGUGAAACGUGCCGCCUGGGAAGUACGGUCGCAAGGCUGAAACUUAAAGGAAUUGGCGGGGGAGCACCACAACAGGUGGAGCCUGCGGCUUAAUUGGACUCAACGCCGGGAAGCUCACCGGAUAGGACAGCAGAAUGAUUGCCGGGCUGAAGACCCUGCAUGACUAGCUGAGAGGAGGUGCAUGGCGUCAGUGACU